GGACCCCCGGGAGCAAGAGCAUGGAGCAGAGGCCGCAGGACAGGUGAGGGCCUCGGGGGGCACGGCCUGCCCCCAGCUCGGCCCCCAGCUGCCCUAAUGCCCCUGUUUCCCCCAGGCCCAGCCCAGGUGCUGAUGUCCCACAGAGAGCGCCAGGUAAGGGGCGAGGAGCCAGAGGCCUGGGGCAGGGGUGGGCGCCCAGGGGAGCCAGGGAGCAACGAGGGGAGGGAAGGUUUGGGAACCUCCUAGGAUGUUCCAGACGGCGACUUCAGGCAAAUUUGCCUGCCAAGGUCCACCCAAGUGCUGACCACUGGUCCUCUCACCUCCAGGCAUGGCCACAGCAGAUAGUCUUCCCGAGAAGGUCAGAGAGAUGGACACUUCCACCUCUGCUGCAGGAGACCCCCAGGAGGUGACGUAUGUUCAGCUGAACCACGGGGCACUCACCCAGGGGGCGGCCCGAGCCUUGUGCCCCCCGCCCUCGGAGCCCCCGGCGGAGUGCAGCACGUAUGCAACCCUUGCCAGACGCUGACCCCGGGGCCACCGGCACCUGCGCCCUGAGGUCACGGGCAGCCGCCCUCGGGAGAGCUUGACGCCCUCAGGAGAGCUUGACGUCCCCGGCGCUUGGAGAACUUUCCCAGUGGGACGGUCCCUGCCUGGAAAUCCAGUCCCCUCCCCGAGCUGGAGCUGGAACCUGGAGGCCCCUGGUGAAUCUUGAAGAGAGCAAUUAGCCAGGGACCCCUCCCCUAACUGAAGGGCUCCCUGCAGACCCUGGGGCGGCUGUUUCCACUGACCCGCCCUGCUGAGUUCACAGCGCGCGUGGCAGCCGCCACGUGGGUCCAGUGUCCCCUGAGCCCCCGACUGCCCCGAGCCCCUGCCUAACCGUCUGCCUCGCUGACCCUCGAGACCCUCCUGGCCGUGCUUGCGGCCCGCGAGUCUGUGCUGUCCUCGCCCAGCUGCCGCCGAGACGCAGGCCUGGUUGUGCCUGCCUCUUACCCAAUAAACAUGUCCCUCUGUCCAU
rnacentral:lncRNA from 1 species